rnacentral:rRNA from 1 species
GACGAACGCUGGCGGCGUGCCUAAUACAUGCAAGUCGAACGCAGUGGGGACGGGUGAGUAACACGUGGGUAACCUCCCAUCAGAGGGGAUAACACUUGGAAACAGGUGCUAAACCGAUACUGAUGGAUGUAGCCGCGGUGCAUUAGCUAGUUGGUGAGGUCACGGCUCACCAAGGCCACGAGGCAUAGCAGACCUGAGAGGGGGAUCGGGCACACUGGGACGGAGACACGGCCCAGACUCCUACGGGAGGCAGCGGUAGGGAAUCGUCGGCAAGGGACGAAAGGCUGACCGAACAAAGCCGCGUGAGUGAAGAAGGUUUUCGGAUCGUAAAACUCUGGUGUUAGAGAAGCGGUAUCUAACCAGAAAGCAACGGCUAACUACGUGCCAGCAGCCGCGGUAAUUC